CGGAUUCAAGUGCCAGAAGCGCUCGAGCUUUCAGUGGCGCGUGGUUAUAAAGAAGACGACGAGGGCCGGACCGGAAGGGGCGAGCGAGCAGCAGUACCGCGGCAUGCCAAAUGCAUCCAUGCAGUGGCUGCAAUGCAAACGCACCCAGGGCCAGGGCUGGGCAGGCAGGGUAAAAGCACGGGCAGGAAAAGUCGGCCCAAACCUGUGCAUGCAGUUGGAACCCUAAGCUUAGCUAGCUAUGAGCCUAGGCGUGUGAGCAGGCAUGUUACUGCACACGCUCUAGGUUGCCUCAAAUGUGAGUGGCUGGACCGCCGAGGGCUUCAUGCAUGGCUAAGGGAGCUGGACGGAG
rnacentral:misc_RNA from 1 species